rnacentral:rRNA from 1 species
UUGGAGGGCAAGUCUGGUGCCAGCAGCCGCGGUAAUUCCAGCUCCAAUAGCGUAUAUUAAAGUUGUUGCAGUUAAAAAGCUCGUAGUUGAAUUUCGGGGUCAGUAGACUGGUCAUGCCACCGGUAUGUACUGGUCUCACUGAUUCCUCCUUCCUGAUGAGCCGUAAUGCCAUUAAUUUGGUGUUGCGAGGAAUCUGGACUGUUACUUUGAAAAAAUUAGAGCGUUUAAAGCAGGCUAACGCUUGAAUACAUUAGCAUGGAAUAAUGAAAUAGGACGUUCGAUCUUAUUUUGUUGGUUUCUAAGAUUGACGUAAUGAUUAAUAGGGAUAGUUGGGGGCAUUAGUAUUCAAUUGUCAGAGGUGAAAUUCUUGGAUUUAUUGAAGACUAACUACUGCGAAAGCAUUUGCCAAGGAUGUUUUCAUUAAUCAAGAACGAAAGUUAGGGGAUCGAAGACGAUCAGAUACCGUCGUAGUCUUAACCAUAAACUAUGCCGACUAGGGAUCGGAUGAUGUUAAUUUUUUAAUGACUCAUUCGGCGCCUUACGGGAAACA